rnacentral:SRP_RNA from 1 species
GCCAGGCACGGUGGCACAUGCCUGUAGUCCCAGCUAUUCGGGAGUCUGAGGCUGGAGGCUCUCUUGAGUCCAGGAGUUCUGGACUGUAGUGCGCUAUUCUGAUCGGGUGUCCGCACUAAGUUUGGCAUCAAUAAGGUGACCUCCCAGGAGCACGGGACCACCAGGUUACCUAAGGAGGGGUGAACUGGCCCAGGUCGGAAAAAUAUGAAUCAUGGCUUGGUAUGGUGGCUCACGCCUGUAAUUCCAACACUUCGGGGGGCUGAAGAAAGAACAUUGCUUGAGCCCAGGAGUUCAAAACCAGCCUAGACAAUAUAGGAGGCCCCAUUUCU